UACGAAGGGGGCUAGCGUUGCUCGGAAUCACUGGGCGUAAAGGGCGCGUAGGCGGCCGAUUAAGUCGGGGGUGAAAGCCUGUGGCUCAACCACAGAAUUGCCUUCGAUACUGGUUGGCUUGAGACCGGAAGAGGACAGCGGAACUGCGAGUGUAGAGGUGAAAUUCGAUAGAUAUUCGCAAGAACACCAGUGGCGAAGGCGGCUGUCUGGUCCGGUUCUGACGCUGAGGCGCGAAAGCGUGGGGAGGCAA
rnacentral:rRNA from 1 species